rnacentral:rRNA from 1 species
GUCCUUUUGUAUUUUAUUAGAAGGUCUGUUCUGCCCCCUGAUUUUUUAAAUGGCCGCAGUAUAUUAACUGUGCAAAGGUAGCAUAAUCAUUAGUUUUUUAAUUGGAGACUUGUAUGAAUGAUUGGACGAGGCACAAGCUGUUUCAAAGAUAAUAAUAGAAUUUUAUUUUUUAGUUAAAAAGCUAAAAUUUUUUUAAAAGACGAGAAGACCCUAUAGAUCUUUAUUAUUACUCUAUUAAUAUGUUUAGAAGAAUUUUUAGAUGUUAAUAUAUUUAAUAAUUUUGUUGGGGUGACAUUGAAAUUUAUUUAACUUUUGAUUAAAUAAUACAUUAAUAUAUGAAUUUAUGAUCCAUUAUUAUUGAUUAAAAAUUUAAGUUACCUUAGGGAUAACAGCGUAAUUAUUUUGGAGAGUUCUUAUCGAUAAAAUAGUUUGCGACCUCGAUGUUGGAUUAAGGUUAAUUCUAGGCGCAGCCGUUUAGUUUAUUAAGUCUGUUCGACUUUUAAUUCCUU